rnacentral:rRNA from 1 species
GGCAGCAGGCACGCAAAUUACCAAUCCCAGCUCGGGGAGGUAGUGACGAAAAAUAACAAUGCGGGACUCUUCCGAGUCUGCGUAAUUGGCAUGAGCACACUUUAAAUCCUUUAGCAACAACCAAUUGGAGGGCAAGUCUGGUGCCAGCAGCCGCGGUAAUUCCAGCUCCAAUAGCGUAUAUUAAAGUUGUUGCGGUUAAAAAGCUCGUAGUUCGAGUUCAGUUCCGGACUGGCUGGGGAGGUCACCGCCCGGUGCUUGCCCGUCAGGCUCCGAACAGCUUCACUGAGUAUAAGCCAAGCCGGUUCUUGCCGGGGUGCUCUUGACCGAGUGUCCCGCGCGGCCGGCCAGUUUACCUUGAAUAAAUGAGAGUGCUCAAAGCAGGCUACUCUUAAAAAUAAAGCCCGAAUGUUACCUGCAUGGAAUGAUGGAAGAUGAUCUCGGUUGCAUUUUAUUGGUGGUGGGAAUCCGAGUUAAUGAUAAACAGGGACUGUCGGGGGCAUCCGUACUACGACGCGAGAGGUGAAAUUCAGUGACCGUCGUAGGACGAACAACAGCGAAAGCAUUUGCCAAGAAUGUCUUCGUUGAUCAAGAACGAAAGUUAGAGGAUCGAAGGCGAUCAGAUACCGCCCUAGUUCUAACCCUAAACGAUGCUGACUAGCAAUUCGCCGUCGUUAUUCCCAUGACGUGGCGAGACGCCCCCGGGAAACCUCAAGUUUUUGAGUUCCGGGGGUAGUAUGGUUGCAAAAGUGAAACUUAAAGGAAUUGACGGAAGGGCACCACCAGGAGUGGAGCCUGCGGCUUAAUUUGACUCAACACGGGAAACCUCACCAGGCCCGGACACCAGAAGGAUUGACAGAUUAAGAGCUCUUUCUCGAUUUGGUGGGUGGUGGUGCAUGGCCGU